UACGUAGGGGGCAAGCGUUGUCCGGAAUUAUUGGGCGUAAAGGGUGCGUAGGCGGCGAGGCAAGUCGGAUGUGAAAUCCCGGGGCUCAACCCUGGAACUGCAUUCGAUACUGCCUUGCUAGAGUACUGGAGAGGAGACUGGAAUUUACGGUGUAGCAGUGAAAUGCGUAGAUAUCGUAAGGAAGACCAGUGGCGAAGGCGAGUCUCUGGACAGUUGCUGACGCUGAGGCACGAAGGCCAGGGGAGCAAACGGG
rnacentral:rRNA from 1 species